AGUCAGCAUAGAAUUAAACCAACAAUAUUUUUUAUUUUUCAAAACAAUCAUCAACAUGAACCUUUGCCAGAUUGUAGAUAUGUGCUCCUAUCAAGUUCUUCAAGACAAUUUGUGUACAGGAACAUUCAUAAUCAGAAGUUUGAUGGAGCCUGGAUUAGAAAGAAGGACAAAAUUAUGUUUAAAGGAAAAUCAGAGGACAUUUUAGAUGCAUUU